AAGACUUUUUUUAUUCAAUAAAAAAAAAUCUGUUCUUAUCAGUUUAAUAUCUGAUACGUCCCCUAUCUGGGGACCAUAUAUUAAAUGGAUUUUUGGGACAGGGAGAUGGAAGAAGAGCUUGCUCUGUCCACUCCACGCAUUGACCUGGUAUUGCAGUACCUCCAGGACCGGUGCACCUCUC
rnacentral:snRNA from 1 species